rnacentral:rRNA from 1 species
GUCUAGGGCCAUACCACCCUGAACGUGCCUAAUCUCGUCUGAUCUCUGAAGCUAAGCAGGGUUGGGCCUGGUUAGUACUUGGAUGGCAGAUACCUGGCUAUGCCAAUCUACUGGACACCUUGGGGCCUAAGAAC